AUUGAACGCUGGCGGCAUGCUUUACACAUGCAAGUCGAACGGUAACAGGCCGCAAGGUGCUGACGAGUGGCGAACGGGUGAGUAAUGCAUCGGAACGUGCCCAGUCGUGGGGGAUAACGCAGCGAAAGCUGCGCUAAUACCGCAUACGAUCUAUGGAUGAAAGCGGGGGACCGUAAGGCCUCGCGCGAUUGGAGCGGCCGAUGUCAGAUUAGGUAGUUGGUGGGGUAAAGGCUCACCAAGCCGACGAUCUGUAGCUGGUCUGAGAGGACGACCAGCCAAACUGGGACGGGGACACGGCCCAGACUCCUACGGGAGGCAGCAGUGGGGAAUUUUGGACAAUGGGCGCAAGCCUGAUCCAGCAAUGCCGCGUGCAGGAAGAAGGCCUUCGGGUUGUAAACUGCUUUUGUACGGAACGAAAAGGCUCUGGUUAAUACCUGGGGCUCAUGACGGUACCGUAAGAAUAAGCACCGGCUAACUACGUGCCAGCCGCCGCCGUAA
rnacentral:rRNA from 1 species